GAAAAAUCAGAAGCUCAAACUUCCUGGUAACUCAAGGCUACCAAGUGAAGCUUUGGAAUCGUCCUCUGGGAAAUCGCCACUGGAGAUAUCCCGUUUCAAGGUGAAGAAUGUGAAGACUGGCUCAGCCAGUGGCUGUAAUUCUGAGAAGAUCCGCAAGCUGGUGGCUGUGAAGCGGCAGCAGGAGCCACUGGGUGAAGACUGCCCUUCAGAGCUGCGGGAGAUCAUUGAUGAGUGCCGGGCCCAUGAUCCCUCUGUGCGGCCCUCUGUGGAUGAAAUCUUAAAGAAACUCUCCACCUUUUCUAAGUAGUGUAUCAAAAUCUAAACCAAGGAGUCUCUGGACAAGAAGCUGGGAGAGGCACAAACUGGACAUCUCUCUCUCUCAUAUCCUUCGGCAUUGGGUUAUCUAUGGGUGCAAGGAGUGGGCACGCUUCUCUGUUACAAAUAGAAAACGAUUCCAG
rnacentral:lncRNA from 1 species